UGACUAAACUUGCUGGGUGGAUUAGUGGCGAACGGGUGAGUAAUACGUGAGUAACCUGCCUUUAACUCUGGGAUAAGCCUUGGAAACGAGGUCUAAUACCGGAUACGACCAGUUCCCGCAUGGGAUGCUGGUGGAAAGGGAUAUGUACUGGUUUUAGAUGGGCUCACGGCCUAUCAGCUUGUUGGUGAGGUAACGGCUCACCAAGGCGACGACGGGUAGCCGGCCUGAGAGGGUGACCGGCCACACUGGGACUGAGACACGGCCCAGACUCCUACGGGAGGCAGCAGUGGGGAAUAUUGCACAAUGGGCGCAAGCCUGAUGCAGCGACGCCGCGUGAGGGAUGACGGCCUUCGGGUUGUAAACCUCUUUCAGCAGGGAAGAAGCGAAAGUGACGGUACCUGCAGAAGAAGCGCCGGCUAACUACGUGCCAGCAGCCGCGGUAAUACGUAGGGCGCGAGCGUUGUCCGGAAUUAUUGGGCGUAAAGAGCUUGUAGGCGGUUUGUCGCGUCUGCUGUGAAAGCCCGGGGCUUAACCCCGGGUUUGCAGUGGGUACGGGCUAACUAGAGUGCAGUAGGGGAGACUGGAAUUCCUGGUGUAGCGGUGAAAUGCGCAGAUAUCAGGAGGAACACCAAUGGCGAAGGCAGGUCUCUGGGCUGUAACUGACGCUGAGAAGCGAAAGCAUGGGGAGCAAACAGGAUUAGAUACCCUGGUAGUCCAUGCCGUAAACGUUGGGCACUAGGUGUGGGGGACAUUCCACGUUUUCCGCGCCGUAGCUAACGCAUUAAGUGCCCCGCCUGGGGAGUACGGCCGCAAGGCUAAAACUCAAAGAAAUUGACGGGGGCCCGCACAAGCGGCGGAGCAUGCGGAUUAAUUCGAUGCAACGCGAAGAACCUUACCAAGGCUUGACAUAUACCGGACCGCUCUAGAGAUAGAGUUUCCCUUCGGGGCUGGUAUACAGGUGGUGCAUGGUUGUCGUCAGCUCGUGUCGUGAGAUGUUUGGGUUAAGUCCCGCAACGAGCGCAACCCUCGUUCUAUGUUGCCAGCACGUAAUGGUGGGGACUCAUAGGAGACUGCCGGGUCACUCGGAGAGAAGGGUGGGGAUGACGUCAAAUCAUCAUGCCCCUUAUGUCUUGGGCUUCCGCAUGCUACAUGGCCGGUACAAAGGGUUGCGAUACUGUGAGGUUGAGCUAAUCCCAAAAAGCCGGUCUCAGUUCGGAUUGGGGUCUGCAACUCGACCCCAUGAAGUCGGAGUCGCUAGUAAUCGCAGAUCAGCAACGCUGCGGUGAAUACGUUCCCGGGCCUUGUACACACCGCCCGUCAAGUCACGAAAGUUGGUAACACCCGAAGCCGAUGCUCAGUA
rnacentral:rRNA from 1 species